UUUAGCCCCAUGUAAGUUUCUGAUUAUUCCCUGCUUCCAGUUAAGUUAUUUUCCUUUUCUAAAAAUCUCCAGGUUUUUUUUUUUUUUCCAUGAGAAUGAGCAGAAAAACAAAAACAUGGGGGAGGGGGAGACUCAGCUCUGUUGAGAAACAGGAAGUUAUGUGGAACCUUGUUUGCCCUUUCUGCUGUGAAGAAGUUUGCCGAAGAGCUGUAACCCUGCACUCUGCUAUGUAAACCACCUACAGAAAUGGCAGAGGUCAGCGUGGGAAAAGAAGGGGCGCCUUGGGCCGAGAGUGACAGCAAAAGGUUCAUAGAAAGACUUGUGGACAAUUCGUGCAACUGCUUCAAAAGGAGAGAUUCACUCUCCUGGUCUCCUAAAGGAACAGUAUUGUCUACUUGUUGGCCAAGCCCUGAAACAGAAGCGAUGAUGCUGCUUUACCAACCUUCCGUUUAACUCUGGGCAAAUGCACUUUCAUCCCUCUAAUCAUUAUGUUAACCAUCUGUGAAAAUGCAUAAAUCUCAGAUUCCAGAAGUCUGAUGAAAUCUACUAGAACAUAAUUAAGCUUAACCAAACCUCUCUUCUCUGGGGUGCGCAUCAAACUAUAACAAGGCCACAGCUGCAAAAGUGCGUUUUGUGAAGCAGUGAGUGGAGACUGAGUCCGUCAGGUUUUUAAGGCAUUGCCGAUGUAGGUUUAACUUACAGUGCCACCACCUCCUAUCUCUGUGGCCUUGGAGAUGAUUAACUUCUCUGGGCUUACUGUCCUUCUCUAUAACAUGGUUGUAACAGCAACCAUCUCAGCAUAUAUCUCAGUUGCAAAGGUUUAAGGAGAUUGCAUAUUUGUUCAAAAGACAUAUGAACUAUCUCACCGUUUCACAACUUACAGUCUUCUCUUAAGGAUUCCGCCAAGCUACAUGAAUGAGGAUGGAGCAGCCACAUUUGUAGUAUGAAGUCCUGCUUUCCUGUCCAUUGUUGAUUGGAGAAGAGUGGGCCUCUGCACCAACCCAGACUGAUGUGGGAUUCUCUCUUCCCACAUUUGGCGCUUGCAAUUGGAGUUGCUAAACUGAGAUCAAUGUCAGAUUUCUUGGGAGAUCAAUGAAUUCUUGCUGCCCGGUUCCCUGAGCUUCCCUGGUUCUCCUCUUCUUAUGUAUCACUUCUUUCUCAACUUUUAUGAGAUAUCCCCCUUUUCUUCCAAUAGACCUCUCUUUAGUUGGAAUUUGAUUCUGACUAUUCACAUUUCAAAUAAAUCCUUAGGUGUUUAUAAUUAAAUGCUUGAUAUUCUUUUGAAUAUGUUCCUUCUAGAGUUUCCUGUUUCAGCAUACACACUGGUUGUGCAACUGGACAUCUCAGCAUCUCUCUAGAAACUGUCCUUUUCCUUCAGCACCAUAUCAAGUCCAUGAAAUCACCUUGAAAUACUUUUUCUCAAAUGUUUCUUUUCUAAAACUUUUCAAGUGACACUUCUUUCUCACCUAGGCUCCUCUCCAUCAAAAGUGGCUUUAACACCUAUUUUCCAGCUUUCUUUCAAUUCAUUCUCCAUAUGGAAGCUGGAGGGAGAGAGAUCCUUCCAAACGUGAGUCAAUCUGGAUCAUGUAACU
ensembl:lncRNA